rnacentral:rRNA from 1 species
GAUGAACGCUGACAGAAUGCUUAACACAUGCAAGUCUUUGGUGAAGCUGUGCUUGCACCGCCUAGCCAAGGCGGACGGGUGAGUAACGCGUAAGGAACUUGCCCCGCAGUCAGGGAUAACAGACGGAAACGACUGAUAAGACCUGGUAAAGUCAGGCGGACUCAUGUCCAGCCUGAUGAAAAGAGAUGCUGCAGGAGAGCCUUGCGUCCUAUUAGCUUGUUGGUGGGGUAACGGCCCACCAAGGCAAUGAUAGGUAGCCGGCCUGAGAGGGUGGACGGCCACAAGGGGACUGAGAUACGGCCCUUACUCCUACGGGAGGCAGCAGUGGGGAAUAUUGGACAAUGGGGGCAACCCUGAUCCAGCAAUUCUGUGUGCACGAUGAAGGUUUUCGGAUUGUAAAGUGCUUUCAGCAGGGAAGAAAAAAAUGACGGUACCUGCAGAAGAAGCGACGGCUAAAUACGUG